UCGGCUUAGAGUUUGAUCCUGGCUCAGAUUGAACGCUGGCGGCAUGCCUUACACAUGCAAGUCGAACGGUAACAGGUCUUCGGACGCUGACGAGUGGCGAACGGGUGAGUAAUACAUCGGUACGUGCCCAGUCGUGGGGGAUAACCACUCGAAAGAGUAGCUAAUACCGCAUACGAUCUGAGGAUGAAAGCGGGGGACCUUCGGGCCUCGCGCGAUUGGAGCGGCCGAUGGCAGAUUAGGUAGUUGGUGGGAUAAAAGCUUACCAAGCCGACGAUCUGUAGCUGGUCUGAGAGGACGACCAGCCACACUGGGACUGAGACACGGCCCAGACUCCUACGGGAGGCAGCAGUGGGGAAUUUUGGACAAUGGGCGAAAGCCUGAUCCAGCAAUGC
rnacentral:rRNA from 1 species